GAGACUCCGUCUUAAAAAAAAAAAAAAAGAAAUUUCCAUCUGCCUCCAGAGGAGAAGUAUCUUGUACCCAAAGGCCUCUAUUUGGUAGGGGCCACUUUAGCCCCCACCAACAGCAAUAUACAGGUCCCCUUUCUCCACAGAGAGAGGAAGAAAUCUCUCCCUUUCCAGCCCACAACACUCUUCCUUGCCUGCCUUGGGACGACAGACUGUAAGGGCACCCCUUUCUGUUAGGGCCAAUCUCCCUCCUCCCUCCACACCUGAAGGUGUGGUCUGACCCAUUCCCCUCCAAGAAAAUAAACCACCAUCUUAGUGUCCAGUCUGAGUGUUUUGUUGUCAGAGUCUCAGGCCUGUCUAAGCAGCGCUGUUCCCUCCCAGGGCAUCAUGGUAGCCUUUCCUCCAGCCUGAGGUGAAGAGAGGAUCAAGUUUUCCGACCUCUGGUAACCCCAUCUCCCAGGAACAGAUGUUGGACAACAAAGCACUCAUGUCACCCAGGAGCCAAAGGGCAACCUCAACCAAGAUUUUAAAAAAUGGACACCUUAGAACAUGUGUUUGAUUUGUUUGGGGGCAGUUCUACCCAUAAACACAAUUAAUGUUUCCUAACAGGACUCAUAAUGACUUUGCUCAGAAUCACCCCACCUGGGCUUCCUCCGGAACAGCGGAGGCUUCUUGCCUCACAACAGGUGGCCUGCGAGUGCUGCCCAAUGUGGUUACAAUGUGAGCACACUGGCGGCUGACUCACAGGAAAGGGUUCCCGAGGCUGUGCCUGAGAUAAGGCUGGCUUCUGGAGGCCUCUCUGCAGAGGAACAAAUCCCACCCCAACUCCCUGAUUGGAUAAUAAGACUCAGAAACUCCAGUUCUCCCCUUCCUAUGUGGCUUUGCAGGUUCUGUGUCUGACUGGAGUGCCACUUCUCUCACGUACCUGUGGUCUAUGCUACAGAACAUCCUAGCCACACAGGAAAGGCGGGAGCAGUGGGUGGCUUGAGGCCAACUGAGCUUUCAAUCCAGUUCCUCUCCCCUGCCACCUGCCUUACCUGGUGCUACCUCUGCAAACACCACCUGCUGGGACAGCGUGGGUGGGAGGGGCUGGUGAGGAGCAUUAUUUCCCGUUACUGCCUUGGGGAUGCUGCUGAGGGCAUUGCUCACUCCUUUGAUCUGGGCAGAGAAGGAAGCCACCUGUCCUAGCCAAGGUUUUAGCGCAGUGACCAGAUGAGAGGCUUCAGGUCACCUCGGGGCCCUGAGUCUGGAAUCCAGAGCCACAGAGAAUGAGGCUCUGUGUGGAAUCCUUGGUAGAGACAGGAUUGGAAACCUCUUGCAGCCAGAAAAAUCACCAUCGCAGAGGGAGACUAGAAACCAUCUCUGGGCCUGAACCUAUCCUUGCUCCCGCCUUUCUUGUGCGGUUAGGUGGUUCUGUGACACUGACCUCAGGCAGGACCACCAUGCUGUUUUCCAUGGUAGCUGGACCAUUUGACAUUCCCACCAACGAUGCUCAAGGAUUCCAACUUCUCUGCAUCCUUGCCAUCCUAGUGGGUAUGAUGUGGUAUCAUCUGCUGCUUUUGAAUGAAAAACCACCUACAAGGACUCCUCAAACUCUCAAUAAACAUAGACUGUUCUCAUAGGACUCAGACUCUCUUGGACAGAAAUCUUUGUCCCCGUGAAAUGCUGCCAUGUCGUCCUGAGAGACAAGAUGGAAAUAAACCUUUCCUCACGGGAGAGAGUGAAUGCCAGUUGAGACCUCACUAAUAUGAAGACACGGCUGCUCACAACUAUUCCACUGUGAAUCCCUCAGGAGUCCUGAAAUUGGUGGUAGGAUCUCCAUUUUACAGGUGAGGUGACUGAGGUUGAGAAUGAAGGAAGCCAGGCACUCGUGCAGUCUUACAAGGUAUUGUAGUUAUAAGUGGAGUCUGGAGUCACAUACAGGCUCUGCAGCUUUCUAGCUAUGUGACCUUGGGUAACAUCUCAGUCUAGUCUCUGCAAAAUGGAAAUGAUAGCACCUCAUAGGGUUGUGAAGAUUAACCAGUUUAUAGGCAGCAUCUUAGCACAGAAUGUGAGCUAAAUAUGCUUCAUGUAUUUACUACUACAAUGAUGAUCAAUGUCUGAACUAAGUUUAAGACACUAUAGGCAAGCAAAACUAACUUCUCUUUCCCUUUUUCCUGUCUCCCAAUGUAGAUGCAACAACAUUUUCCUCACUUCCUGGAAAUGGCUCCGUUCUAGCAUUUCAACAUGAUCCAGGAGUGACAGUGAUGGUUAAGUCAGAGCAUCUCAAAGAGUCUGAGCGUUGAAUCUUCCAAAGUGUUCGAAUCUGUGGUAAGGGAAAUGAAGCACAAGGUAAGUUGAGGGUUGGACUGUGUGCUGUUGGACUCUUGUUCUUGUGACAAGGUCAGCAGUCCCUUGUAGGCAUGUCAGUUCCUGCCCCCGCACAGGCAUGUGUACACACACUCACGUGCACACACACACACUCCUGGCUUUUGGUUUUUUUCCCGGGUAGGAAACUGUUCUUUAUACCUUGACUUGCUGAUCUGUCUUCUACCAGGGAUCCAGGAACAUUACUAAGGGGCAAUGGGACUUAGGGUGGGGGUAACAGGCUGGGAUUGAGGUGAUUAGAUUCUAGUCUCAGAUGAGUCCCUGAUAGGGUUUUGGACAAAAUCUCCGUUUUAAAUUUGUUUUCUUAGCUCUAUAGAGUCCACAUGUAAGGUUUUUUGUCUGUUUGUUUGUUUUUGUUUGUUUGUUUUGGGAUGGAGUUUCACUCUUGUUGCCCAGGCUGGAGUGCAAUGGCACAAUCUUG